GUGUUCACUUUGACAGCACAUAUACUAGAAUUGGGACCACACAGAGAAGAUUAGCACGGCCCUUGCACAAGGAUGACACACGAAUGAAUGGAGUGUUCCAUGUUUUA
rnacentral:snRNA from 1 species